UUCUUCCUUCUGCCUUUUCUGGGCCUCGCCUUGGCGCACGCUCCAGCUCCGAAAGAUCCCUUCAUUUCAAGUAACAGUUACUUGUACAAGUUGUAGUUGCACAAUGCAGUAGUAGCUGGCGUAACGAAGUAUUAGUUAUGUCUAGCUAGCUCAAGUACUCUUCAGUCUUGAAGUUGAAGUCUCUUUCUCGAAGCAGUUUGCUCUUACGUACCUGUACAUGUAUGACUUACUACUGUAUUCGAAAAGUGUCAGGCUGUCCAAAUAAUAAUUAUAAUACUUAAUAGUACACCUAGUACAAGCGCUCAAUAUUUCUGUAUAAUAGCAGCUACGAAUCACAUUCCUCAAUGGAUCCUGUGGACGAGCUAACGCAGAAUUCUGCUCGCCGACCCCGGGAACGCUUCACGAAAGUGAAGUCGGUUGUAAAACCUUUCGGAUAUUCGCCCCGCGUGUUGGAUUUGACAGCCAAGUAUCGCCCAUUGUUCCUCGCCCUCUUCGUAGCCGCUGGUCUGGGAGCUGCACAGGGGUAUAAGCGGAGGGAGGCCACUGGCCGCGCCUUUCCCAAAUGGGUUGCGGCGCUUCUCGCAAGUGAGUACAUUUUCCGACAUGAAGCUGUCACCGGACCGGAAUCCUACAGAGUUACAGCCAAACGUUGGGAGAGUGCAGUGAUUGACUUUUUCGCGUCCUUUCACACUAAGUAGCGAGGUGACUUUCGGAUGAGCGCUGACGCUGGACUGUGGGUUGCUGUCACCACCUCGUCACAGCAUGUCUGUCUACCUGACGGUUUGGUGUACGUAUGCGGCAUGGAUGGAUGAAACCCAGUCACAACAAGGACAUAGAUAUGUGCGGAUGUUAGUACGCCACUCUGCCACCGGAUGUUCAUGACUUGUAUGCUUCCCUGUGGGGAUAAAGAGGAGGCACACAUAUUUGUCGGCGGUGAUGCCUUCCUUGUCCCUCUAUCAUUUUAGGGCGCAAGGCAACCGUACGUCACCCAUACUGCUGCGAAUGCUGCGAAAUGUGCUAGCCCGGAAACGGAGUAGACCGUCAUACGAUUGCUGUGAAGCUGGCUGUGUGGUCAUGAGCGAUACUCGCCGGUUUAUGUGGCCUCGUGCCGUGUAUCUUAGACAUGGUGAUGGCCUGGUACAAGUGAAACUUCCUAAGCUGGUUGUGUUUCUCAAAAAUAGCCAGUUGAACGCAGAAGUGCAAACUUUACUUCUUUAAAAAAAUUGAUUUAUGUGACUCUCGAGUCUCGAGUUCGGUCCAUGUCACCACAGCAGGGUACAGACUACGGGUUCAUGUAUAAUUGGAGUGCGGUCACAUGUGAUGCAGCUGCCCUUUUUGAUGACCGCUUUUAUAUCUGCCAUUUGAGGUGAUCACGCUAAAAUUCCUGUCACGUUGACCCUAGCACUACAAAUGGCGUAAAAUGCCCACCCGCUGGCAAUCAUGCUGAACUAUUGUUUACUUGAA